AACGAACGCUGGCGGCAGGCUUAACACAUGCAAGUCGAACGCCCCGCAAGGGGAGUGGCAGACGGGUGAGUAACGCGUGGGAAUCUACCGUGCCCUGCGGAAUAGCUCCGGGAAACUGGAAUUAAUACCGCAUACGCCCUACGGGGGAAAGAUUUAUCGGGGUAUGAUGAGCCCGCGUUGGAUUAGCUAGUUGGUGGGGUAAAGGCCUACCAAGGCGACGAUCCAUAGCUGGUCUGAGAGGAUGACCAGCCACACUGGAACUGAGACACGGUCCAG
rnacentral:rRNA from 1 species